CUCCUCCGAUUCCAAGCCAGUCUUCUCAAAUCAGCUCUGCCUAAUCGCCCGAGUCGAUUGAUUGAUUGAUUGAUCGAUUGAUCGAUCCAUCGAUCCAUCGAUUUUUAACAGAUUCGCGCGGCCGCAUCAUUGGCACUUGAAGUGUGCUAAUCCUCUUGUCGAUUGCAGCUGGAAUUUCUCGUUUUAGUGAUGGAUCGCAUUUAGGGCUUCCUCUUUUAUCGUGUUUUGCGGAGUCUAGGUAUUGUGCUUGAGGAUUAAGGUUUUUGGGCUGCAUCGGGUGUGGAUUUUGAAGCUUGACGGGUUUUGUUUCUGCGGCAGUGUUGAGAGUGGUCGUGGUGGUGAUUAUAGGAAUUGAGUCGGUGACUAGGUUACAGGUUUGUGUGAGCAGACAGUCUAUAACCAUGUGGGGAAGAAGUAGUCAGGACAAGCUUAUGGACCAGAUUUUUCAGUUGAAGUUUACGUCGAAGAGUCUGGUGCGGGCGGCGAAGAAGUGCGAGAAAGAGGAGAAGGGUGAGAAAUUGAAGGUGAAGAAGGCGAUCGAGAAGGGGAAUAUGGAUGGUGCCCGGAUUUAUGCCCAAAACGCCAUUAGGAAACACAAUGAGCAGCUCAAUUACUUACGUCUCUCUUCGCGGCUGGAUGCGGUUGUUGCCCGGCUUGGAACGCAAAGCAAGAUGCAGACCAUAUCCAAAUCUAUGGCCGGAAUUGUGAAGUCGCUGGACAGUGCCCUCGCUGUCGGCAACAUGGAGAAAAUUUCUCAAACAAUGGACCAGUUUGAGAAGACUUUCGUGAACAUGGAGGUGCAGUCUGAGUUUAUUGAAACCGCCAUGGCUGGUAGUACCAGCUUGUCGACUCCGGAGGACGAGGUCAAUUCUCUUCUACACCAAGUCGCUGACGAUUACGGUCUUGAAGUUUCUGUCAAUCUUCCACAAGCAGGUGCCACAGCCAUGCCUGUGAAGGAGACUGCAACGGUAAAUGCUGAAGACGACUUGAGUCGAAGGCUAGCAGAGCUCAAGAACAGGAACUAGCCUGCUGCUGUUAUCUCGCUCUCUAGUUGCUCGAGCCAGCAAAGCCUUGUCCACGAGAAAUCUGAAAGCCAACGGAUUCCUCAUCAGAAUCAGCUAAUCAAGGCGAAGCUAGCCACCCUCAUUUCAUGAAAGUUCGUGGACAAGGAAGCAAUCAACUUGUCAGAGCGAGCCACUCCCAAACACCGACACUGGACUGUUCAGCAACCCGGGCAUCUACGAAUUCGGUUUCUUUGGAGUAACGCAGAGGUCCAUCUGCGCAGAAGCUGCGAGCCUGCUCAGCCUUCGGAACAAAUCAAACCGUGGAAUGCGGGUGAGCAUCUACACAACGUUCUAUCACAGCAGAUUCAGUCACUCAACGAUACUUGAUGAGCGUAACCUUCUUGGUUAAGAACCCAAGUCACUGGAAACAUUGCUGGCGCUGUUCUUUUUCCGGCUCACAUGGAGCUUGUGCUGCUAUUGCAGCUUCAACUACUGUUCACGCUUUCAGCCACUUGAACAUUCCACUAGGCGAUGAGCCGAUAAACAAAAUGUGAAUAUCAGAUGUACCCAAUUGGCAGUGGCGCCGUGGGUUCCAUACAAAGAGGCCGAGAUCGGCGCAGCACGGGCAUCGUUCAGCCACAAGCUUAAGCCACCAUUAUGAAGCUUUAGUAUAUUUACUAGUUUGACAUGAGGUUUUGGAAAUCUGGCAUUCUUUUUUUCUUUUCUUUUCUUUUUUCUUACAACCGUGGUUUAUCUGAUGCAUUGAUUUGUGUUGAAAAACGUGUUUUUGUUAAAAACAAUGGCGUACAAUGCCAUAAAAUAGUAAUUUUUUGAAGAAUAAACUUCCAACAAUGAACUACAAACAAA